UCAAUUUAAUUGUUAUCAGGUGCAAUCAAGCAUAAAAGGGAAUCCCGUGAAAAUCGGGAGCGGACCCGCCGCUGUAAUCGGGGACGAAAGCCGCAGAAUGUCACUGCUUCAUUCAAGUGAAGUGGGAAGGCGCGGCCGGUAGGAUGAUCCGGGAGUCAGAAGACCUGCCUGGUGACGGGUUUUCCG
rnacentral:ncRNA from 2 species